GGGUCCCUACGGGAGGCAGCAGUAGGGAAUUUUCGUCAAUGGGCGCAAGCCUGAACGAGCAAUGCCGCGUGAACGAGGAAGGUCUUCGGACCGUAAAGUUCUGUUGAAGGGGAAAAAGAGCGGAGAGAGGAAAUGCUUUCUGAUUGAUAUUACCCUUCGAGGAAGUCACGGCUAACUACGUGUCAGCAGCCGCGGUAAUACGUAGGUGGCGAGCGUUAUCCGGAAUGAUUG
rnacentral:rRNA from 1 species